UAAAAAUCUGAUCCAAAAUUCCAUUUUGAGAAGCUCCACAGCCUUGUGCAAACGACUUUCAGGAAUCCCUGUGCAGCACGGUUGGGAGAGGUCAGGAGGGCAUGUCCUGCGGAGGAGGAGCCGCGGGGCGCGCCAGCGGGCAAGUGGAGUCGGUUCCCGGGAGCACCUCUAAGGGGCGCCCUUUCCUCGUGUGCAGAGAGCAGGGCCGACCAAACUGAUCCUACAAACAAUGCCUAGAACUAUAGGAGGUGCCGCCCUGGCUGCUUUCACGGGCUUCCAGCGUCCGGCCGGUGAACGUCGUGCAAAAAGUCCAUUAAAAAACCAGCGGAUGGUUUGUCGUCAAAGGGAUAGACACUUUACACGACCCUAUGGCCUCCCUUUCCAGGUCUCAACUUAGCUUCUGGAAUGACUGGCGGGUCCACACAGCUGGUGGCCGGGCCACAGGGACGGUCUCAGCCUCGCUUCUUCCCGGGGACGAAGGUGUGCGGCGCCCGCCAGACUCAACGGUCACUAGCAUUUAUUCAUGAGACACAGAGACACAGAGGCAGGGACACAGCAGAGGGAGGAGCAGGCUCCAUGCAGGGAGCCCGACGUGGGACACGAUCCCAGGACCCCGGGAUCACGUCCUGGGCCGAAGGUGGCCCUCAACCCCUAGGCCACCCGGGCUGCCCAGCAUUUCGUUUUUUAAAAAAUGCACUUUGAAACUGAGGCCUCACCUCGGGGAAAACAGAAGAGUGGGCCUGGAAUGACGGUGUGCCCUGUCCUUUCUUCGCAUCCCUCAGGCCACGGGUGCCAGGCCCACGGUGGCCCGAGAGACGAGCGUGUGGACCUAAGCCCCAGUGUCAUCAGGCGGCCGUGCGAGGACUAGUCUUGGUCCUGCCGCCAAGGCCCGGCGUCCUGCCACUGGGAGUUCUGGAAGCUCUUCUGCCGAAGGCCCUUCCCCGCACCUUCUGGCUCCAGCGCGUGCAGCGGAGUCUCGCUGAAGCCUCUCGGUUCUCUGCGGUCCCCACCCUCCACGGUGACACAGACGACAUGCGUCGGCAAGGUCUAAACAAAAACCCGGGCGCGUGUAGCACCACAGACGCUUGACCUGUUGAAGCAGUAGAGCAACGCGAACAGGCUUUGGGGGCGCAGCACUGGAUCCAGGCCUCUGGGAACCACGCUUCAGGGGGCCGCACUCCCGCGGGCCUGAGCUUUCUAUCCACACGAGAGCGCGGACCGGGUGGUGAACUGUGAGCUUUCUCAUGAAAGGCAGAAGAGAAAUGAAUAUGGGAAGAAGAAGAGCGUCCCCCCUUUUCCUGGGGCUUUGAUCAUUUACUAUCCACCAUGGAAAAGGAGAAUUGAGAUCUCGUCCUCGGGGUUGCAGCCCAGCACGAUGAGGGUGAAGUGCAGGGGCAGUGGCUUCCUGCCCUCGGCCUCGGUCACCAAACCAGGCCCGCAACCCUGCCCCCCGAAAUCAACAUUUCCGGGGUGACCUCCAGCCGUGUGGCCCUACACUGAACAGGCUGGGGCACAGCUAAAAAUCAUAAACAGGAAGUUAGCCGCGGCCUUGACAUCCUAUCGUUUUGCUUUUGGUCACGUUUUGCUUUGAGCGCCGUGCCUCAGUUUACCAAUCUGUAAAGCGGGUCAGCUAACAGCUGGCAAAUAACCACGCUUCUCCACCCUUCCUCUGCCACAAACCGAUCGGUGCUCGCGGGCCUUAACAUGCUCAGGGCGGAGAGCCGCAGCAGUGACUCAGAGCUGGCAUUAGGGUCGCGCUGUGACACAGGACACGUCUGGGUCAGCGGGGAGCUCGCACCGCUGUGCACCAACGCGCAGUGCAUUUCCUGCUGCUGGACCACGGUAGGAAUUAUCUUUAAGUCACUAUUGUCCUCACAUGUGACCACUUACCAUAGAGGUUCAUUUUUAGAAUCUGCGCUGGAGCGGGUAUCAGCAUUUCAUUCCUCUUUGUGGCUGAGUAAUGCGUGUAUAUACACACUACUUGGGGUCCAUGGUUUUUUCCUGUAGCACCUUCCUCUGGCUUUGGCGACAGGAAAGACUGGCUGUGCAAGACAAGGAUUGGUAGUAACGUCUCCACUACCACUGCUGGUUUUAUUUACGUAAUGGAAACAUUGCACUAAGUUAAAGAAGCCAGAGGUAUGAAAAUAAACAACUAAAACUGUAGGUGGGAGUGAAGCAAGAGUUAGCGAAUGAAGAUGGGAAGGUACUUGGAAGCCAGCUGCACGGUUUUGAUGACAGCUUGAUGACAGCAUUUCGGCCCUUCCGCAUCAUCCUUCCCAACGACCCUGGCUCCGGGGAGCCUUAAAUAUCCAAGGAGAGCGCCGCUCAGGAGAAGGAGAAGGCUCAUCCCUUUUCCUUCCUUGAUCAUAAGUGUGAAGACUCUUCUUGUGUCACACUCUCCAAGAGUGGUGCUGGUAAAUAUGAAGAAUGUGUGAAUCCGUACACUUUUAUAAGUGGUUUUAGGACUGAUUUAAAAAAAGUUAUUGGUCAAAUUGAACACCAAUAAAAAAAUAAAUUUAUUAUAAAAAAAAGUUAUUGGCAAACAUAAGAAAAUUAGUUCCAAGAUGUUCAUUUUGGUGUUGUUUAUAAUAACAACCUAAGUGGUCAUUCUUGUAAGUUUCUGUAAGGAAUUAUAGUUUAUUAAUUCCCUGGAAUAUGAAGUAUUCCAUGAAAAUGAUUAUAUAAGUCUAUAUUUUAACGGGGACAUAUAUUUAGAGAUAUUAAUUGGUGACAGAAAAACAAGUUACAUAACAAACACAUAAUCUCACUACCUUUUUGUUCAAGUGAUAAAUACACGUGUACGGAUUUAGAGGGACCAAAGUGAAAAUAUUAAGUGACUGUCUCUGUAUAGUGCGUUUAAUGUGCUUUUAAAUUUCUUCUGCGUGUUUAGUUCUAUUUUUGAACGUGUCCACAACAAAGAUACAUGUUACUUUGAUAAAAUAAUUUCUCACAGGAACUCACUGACUCCAAAAUGUGACUAAUUUAACUUUCUAUCACUGAAAUAUUGUUAACAUUCUCUAGCUCUCAGUUAAUGGAGGAAAAGCUAGAGGUUAAAAAAAAAAAAAAAAAUUCCUGACAGAGAAGCAAACUUUGAGAUGCCCUGUGUUUUAUUUUCAACUAAAAUCUUAAAGAAAUCCUAAAGAACGUGUACAGAGAAUCCAGAACCUCUCGUUGAGCGGGCCCGAGGAAGACUUGCCGCGGAAGAAGGGACGGGCCGAGCACUGACCUGCCCUUUGGAGAGGCCGAGAGCCCCCUGGACCCCGGGAGUCCAUCUGAAUUUCCUUUAAGACAAGCUGAAAAUCCGUAACAAAGCUCAGGACCCACAUUUAACCUCGCGUCUCCCGUAGUCUGUCCUCCAGGGCCUAGUUCCAUGGAGUAUUAGCAGUGGAUAAAACCCGACGAAGGUUCCACGCUCAGUUGGGGGAGCAUUCCUACGUAGUAAAUGCCGCAGCCUUAUUUCAGGAGCUCCUGCGCAGACCUGGAGUGGGAGGCUGGGCCAGUGGCUCCAGGGAGGCACGGUCCUCGCUUCUCUGACUGGUGUCCUCUCAGGGUCCUCGUGGGGAAAACAAACCAAAAGUGUCCUGUGGUCAAAGAGAAAUCAGGGCUCCUGGGUGGCUCAGUUGGCCGAGCGUCUGCCUCGGGCACAGGUCAUGAUCCUGGGGUCCCGGAUCGAGUCCCGCAUCGGGCUCCCUGGAGGGGGGGUCUGCUUCUUGCCCCUCCCCUGGCUCCUGCUCUCUCGCGCUCACUGUCUCUCUCAAAUAACUGUAUCAAAGUUAUUUUUAAAGAUGGUCUAGAUACCAUCUCAUCUUUGUACAUCUUUUUUCCUUUGCUGUGUUCGGUCCACUAGCAUUUAUUUGUUGCUCCCUUCACCAUAUUUUUCAAGUGUGUCCAUUUAAAAUUAUAUAUUAACAUUGAGUGUCUACUAAACACAACGUAUUUAAAGAGCUUUAUAAUUUAGCUUUUAGAACAACCGUGUAUGCUAAUUUCACCUCUGUCUUCCAAGUAGAGAAACUGAGGCAUAGAGACAUUAGGUCAAGGGGCUCCUAAGAGACUGAGCUUUGAUUCGAGUCCUUGAAGUGGUUCUUCCGGGAGCGCAUUUCAGGCCUACUUCAGUGACCUUUGUCGUUCCCCCCAAGGACAACGGCACAGUUUGUCUUCCUUCCCUCCAGGCGCCUUCUGCUUCCAUCCACCCAGCUCUGUCGUGUCCCUGCUCCCUGUCACCCCAAGAUCAGGGGCUCCCCAAUGCUUCGGGCUGAACCCGGCAGGGGAGGAACUGUGAGUUUCCAGUGACUUCACAGACCUUCACUUGUGCAAAAAAUUUUUCUGCUGCCGUUAAAACUUCCAAAGAGGAAAAAGAUGAUAAAUGAUCAGAAGAAGGGGGACGGGUCUAACUUUCACGGUGUUCGAGUACGAGGCAGGUGGAGCCCGGCCAGGAGCGGGGACAGAGAGGGGCUCUGUGGCCUGCUUUCCCCAUGUUGCCCCCUCCACACCAAGGGGAGGUGGCCCCCUCUUCGCUGCACCGGACUCCAGGUCUGGGAAGCCUCCCAACAAUCCAGGAUGGAAACUGGAAGAGGAAACCGAUGGUUUUGAUUCAGCGAAUAUUUGAAAUGAUUUCAUUCCAAAGAAAAAUAUCCCAAUUAAAGUGCCAGGCAUUCAGUGUUCACGAACAGAAAGCAGAUGCAGCAUGUGUUCAGUUUGAAAGUGACUUGGGAAUAACCUUCCCGAAACUGAGUGUGGACACGUUGAAACAAUGUGAUUCAUCACGGGGCUCUGGAGGGUUCUGGAAGAGGAGACCAGGGAGCACCAGGGAGCACCAUGGAUGCCCAGUGAGCCCCCCGAGAGCCUGCCCAUGUACCACGUGUAACAAAUACAUGCCUGCUCUUUGGCUCUGCCGUUUCAGAGCUUUGUCAGUGACUGCUUGACUCAUCCCAUAACUCAACUCUUUUGGCAGGAAUACAUAUGGUGGUAACGGUUUUAGAACCAAAUUAUAAAAUUAAUUAACCAGUGGGAAGAACAUUUUUUCCUACUUCUCAAGUUCAGUAUUUUCCCAAAAAAAAAAUUUCUGCUUCCUGAUUUGGAAAAUGAACUUGGAGCCAGGAUUUACUCUCUCUUAGAAGGGAAACUUCAAUAAAGUUCUGUUGUCCUUUGAUCCUUUUAGAAAAGUGAGGCUUUGAUUAGUCUUCGGAAAACAAAAUUCCCUGACAAUUUCUUGUAUUGCUUCUGAAUAAAGGUAGGAGCGUGCCUGGAGUGCAAAAUAAUAUUGUAGUUAAAAACGAUUGCAGUCAGGAUGGCUAAGAUAUAGUCAAUCUUCCGUCCAAGUGAAUACAAAGUUUUAGCAGGCCUAUAAAAUGCCUCCACGAAUUUCUACCCAGAGAGUUGAUGGCGGAUCCCAAAUUGUAAUGUUUUGCAGUUACUACUGUCAUCAGUAUUUUGUAUGUUUUUUUUUUUUUGGUUUUCCUUUGUUUAACAAAUGAGAUUUCUCACAUUUUUUAAUGUGUUGCUUUAGCAACAGUUCUCACAUUCAAAAUAGAUUUACAUAGACUCUACUCUGCAAAUAUAUAUUGAAUGCUCACUACGUACAAAACAUUAUACUGUGUUGUUAUGAACCUUCCAUUUGAAUUAAACUUGGAUAGAGGUUGACUUGCAUGUUAAUUUCUUAGACUGAUGUUGGGAAGCAAAUUUUCAAUUUGCUUUCCCUUAUCCUAGUUCCUCACUAACCUACUCUACAAUGGACUUGUAUGUAUCUGUGUAGUCCCAAUUAAUAAAGAGUGGGUUUAAUAUGGUAUAUUAUACAUCCAAUCAAUUUAAAAUUAUUAAUCCUACUUAAAAAUGUGGAAUGGAGCUGAAAUAAAAUUGGAAAUAUAGAGAUAUAGUAUGCAAUUUAAGACCAUAUAAACAUCUAGGUGAACACCUAAGCUAUGAUAGAUUACAUUAUUUGCCCCAAUUCCCCCCACCCGCCUUCCCUCCGCCAUACCCACACUCAAUGCCAUGCCACUCUGCAGUGCUUCUUCCUAUGGUUUAUGCUGUUUGAUCUCUACCAUUGGCUUAGUCACGUGAGUUGCCUUGGUCAACAGAAUGGGGCAGAAGGGAUGGUGUGCUAGAUCCAGAAUUAAGCCCUUAGGGAUUUUGCAUGAUUCCACUUUGUCUCUCAUGUUUCCAGCAUCCAUGAAGGAGGUAAGGCUGGGGCUAGCCGGUUGCCAGAAAAAGGAAUUUAGACAAGUGGAGGAGAGUUGCCCUCCCUGCAAGGCAACCUAGCCAGACUUGGCCGAGACCAGAGCUCCCAGCCACCCUAGAGCUGCAGCCCAGCUCCCAUCAGCUAUAUUAGUUUGCCAGGCCUGUCACAACAGAAUACCACAGACUACAGGGCUUACACAACAGAAAAAAAAAAUAUUUUUUUAUAGUCCUGGAGGCUGGAAGUCUGAGAUCAAGGCAGGUUGACAGAUUUGGUUUCUUCUGAGGCUUCUCUUCUUGGCUUACAGGUUAGCCGUCUUCAUGUUCACAUAAUAUUCUCUCUCAAAGCGUGUCUGUGUCCAAAUUUUCUCUUGUAAGGACACCAGUCAUCCUGGAUUAGACCUACCAUAAUGACCUAAUUUUAACUUAAUUACUUCCUUGAAGAGCCUCUCUCCACAUACAGUCACAUUCUGAGGUAGUAGGGGUUAGGACUUACACAUAUGGAUUUUAGGGGGAUGCAUUACAACAACCAAACUCAAGUGGCAAACAGAUUCAUCAGCUAUAAUAAUAAAAAUCAGAAUUUUAAGACAGUGAAUUUUGAAUUUUGGUGUGCUUUGCUACAAAACAUUACAUGUAGCAUGAAAAAAUUUUUAAACAAUUAUUAGUGAUGAGAUUUGGGGUGAUUAAAAAAUGUUUUAGAUUGUUGCUGCAUAUUCAUUGAAAUUGGCUGUAUUUUUUUUCUGUAAAAAAUGUUUUUUUUUUUAAAAAAAAAAUAUUUUUUUUCUGUAAAGUAAUGCUUCUUCAUUGUUAUAAAAAACAGAAAAUGUGGUGAUAUAUAAACUGUAAAAAUAAGAAUCAGUUGUAAUGUUUCCCCAUCCAUGGUAGAAAACCAAUGUUAAAUACCUUUUAAUUACUUUCCUAUUUACAAACACACACCUACCCAUACAUAUUUUUUCACAUAUACCCAUACAUAUUUUCACAAAAAGAUACUAUAUUUUACAUAUUUUAAGCUGCUUUUGUUUUUUUUAAAUAAAAAGUUCUUCAAGGAUAGUGUGCUAUUAAUAUAGAGAAAUAUAAUUUUAAUGACUAUGUAGUAUACCAUUUUAUCAAUUACCAUAAUCUACUAACUUUGUAUUGGAUAUUAUUUAGAUUGCCCUCAU